rnacentral:lncRNA from 1 species
AGCACUUCGAAACCAGAAGAGCCCUGAGUCUGGAGUACCGAUGAAGUGGUGGAUUGUCGUUGGCUCUGUCUUCGGUACAUAUUCAGCUCUCUCUAGGCCGGCAGCAGAGGGGAUGUCGGCUGUCGGAGCGCCCCUCAGCUUCCCGGUCCCGGCCAGAUCCGAAAUGAGAGAGCAGCCAUGCGGAACCGCGCGCGCCGCACAGUAGCAGAUGCACAGGGGCACAUCGCGUCAGAGCGCUAAGGGCUGGUGGAAGGGGAACAUCAUCUCUGUCCAGGACUCCCAUGGUCAGCAGGAAGGGGCCAGUCUUCUGGCUCCGUGGGUUUUGCACAUUGUUUUCCUGGGCUGGGCGUGCCAGGAGCAUGAAGAUGCCGGGUGGAGAGAGCCAGGAAUUCAGGGCCCAGCUGCACAGGGAGGGUGCACAUGAAACCGCAGUCAAAAGUGUGCGGAACGGUCUGGAGCUCAGAGGUAAAACUCCAACCCAGUGCAAAUGCAAGAUGACACACCGUAGCUGACCAAGGUAAAACACAGCUUCCUGUGUUCAUGACAAGGAUGCUCCUUUGCUCAGAUUAUCCCAUUAACGCCCCAGUGGGACUCCCCAGCCUCCUGCUCUAACUGGACACAAAGUAGGUGUCAUGAACAACUGAGGUAUAUUGCACAGUUUGCAUUGUUUCUGUGCUCCACUCCUUUCACCCCUACAUCCACAAGAGCUGAACUGUUUGAUAACAGGUUACACAGCUGAAACUAAACAAAUGAUUUUGCAGUCUUGGUAAAGGGACACACCCAGCCCUUGUGUUUCGAUGACUGCUCAGGUAAGAAAUCAGGUAAAGGUGGCAGUUUUCUGGUUUCAUGUGGCAUUUUCUUAAUAUUUUAAUUGUGUGGCAAGACAUGGGCAUGGAGACUGAGACAAAAAGAAUUGAUUUCCAAUCUUCUUUAUGUAUACCUCCCUGGAACAUUUGUAAAUUGUCAUUUCUUCUCUUGGUUUGCUAUUGAAAUCAGGAUUCGUUUUUUUAAUAGAUUUUUUUAAUUUGUUGCCUACAAUCAGAACUAUUUGUUCCCAAGAUGGUGGGAAGUCAUUGUUUAGAAAAAUACAUGCAUCAUUUUACUCAGAGCAGUGUUUUGAGUCAUCUUUGCAAAAAAAACAAGAGAGUAAGCACAUGCACUAGCCACCCCAGUAUGUGUCAAUGACAGCACUGCCUUGAAUUGUUUUAAUUGUAAGUGUUUACACUCUUUGUGCUGUGUGUGGUGCCUGUGCCUUGCAGAUGUAUGCAGGGGUCUGUCCAGACUAAACCCUGUGUUUCCAGUGCUUCUACUGGAAGAAGCAGCUUUCACAACAAGUCAAUAUCCUCCAAAUCCAUAAUUACAUUAAUUUGCCACCCGGACCAGCAAAAACGGACAUGAAAGAAUCCUAAGAAAACAAGGGAAAUAGUUGGAAUCCAAAACUUUAGCCGUACC